GAUUUCCAGCGAAACAUUUCUCUCUCUCUCCUCCAACUUGAAGCAAAGUCCCUCAUCUUUACAUAUUAAGCAAAGUUCAGAAACCUCAACCCGACCUUGUACCAUGGACUCAAGCAACCCAAAGGUCAUCACAUGCAAAGCUGCAGUAGUAUGGAAGGAAGGGGAGAUGAUAAAGAUCGAAGAGAUACAAGUGGAUCCACCUAAAUCAAAUGAAGUUCGAAUUAAGAUGCUCUUUGCCAGUUUGUGCCACACUGACAUUCUCGCUUCCAAUGGCUAUCCCUAUCCUUUAUUUCCUCGAGUUCUUGGACAUGAAGGAGUUGGCAUGAUAGAAAGUGUGGGAGAAAAUGUGACAAAUCUAAAAGAAGGAGAUAUAGUGAUGCCACUUUACUUGGGAGAAUGCAAAGAAUGCCCAAAUUGCAAGUCAGGGAAGUCCAAUUUAUGCCAUAAAUAUCACUUGACCCUUUCUGGUUUCAUGUUGGAUGACACAUCAAGAAUGUCAAUUCAUGGAGGACAAGUAUUAUACCAAAUUUUUACUUGCGCCACGUGGUCGGAAUAUACAGUUGUUAAUGCCAACUACGUAAUCAAGGUUGAUCCUCAGAAGAUUCCGCUUCAACAUGCUUGCUUGCUUUGUUGUGGAUUUACAACAGGUUAUGGAGCAACAUGGAGAGAAGUUCAUGUUGAAAAGGGCUCAACUGUUGCUGUACUAGGUCUUGGUGCUGUUGGACUUGGAGCGAUUGAGGGAGCUCGAAGUCAAGGGGCAUAAAAAAUAAUUGGUGUUGACAUAAACGAAUUGAAACAAGGAAAAGGAGAAGUGUUUGGAAUGACGGACUUCAUUAACCCUAAAGAAUCCAGGACAUCAGUUUCCGAGAUGAUAAAAGAUGUUACUGAAGGCAUAGGUGUUGAUUAUGUUUUCGAAUGUACUGGGAUACCAUCCAUGCUUAAUGAAGCCAUUGAAGCCUCAAAAUUGGGAAUUGGGACAAUUGUUGUAAUUGGUGCAGGACAUGGACUUACUAGGGAAUUCAACUUAGUUUCCUUAUUAUGUGGUCGAACAUUGAAAGGUUCAGUCUAUGGUGGAAUAAGACUUCACUCAGAUCUUCCUGCUCUACUUCAUAGAUGCGCAAAUAAGGAGAUUCAACUAGAUGAGCUUAUAACUCAUCAAGUUUCGUUGACUGAAAUCAACCAAUCAUUUGAGUUAUUGAAAGAUCCACACUGUGUCAAGAUUAUUAUCAAGUUCUAAGAAAUUAAACCAAUUUUAUCACAGACUGAAGACUUUAAUAUCAAAAAUAACAAUGCAGAGUUAAAUUAUUUACUCAAUUCUGAAAUUGGUUUAAUUCAUGUACCAUAUGUUGUAUGUGUAUGAUAAGCAAAUAAACAUUUUAUUGUAUUGUAUUGUAUUGUUUUGUUUUGUUAUAAAUAAAUGUGUAUGGCCAUAUGGCUCAUAUUCAAUGCUAUUG